rnacentral:rRNA from 1 species
GACGAACGCUGGCGGCGUGCCUAAUACAUGCAAGUCGAACGCAGUGGGGAUGGGUGAGUAACACCUGGGUAACCUCCCAUCAGAGGGGAUAACACUUGGAAACAGGUGCUAAACCGAUACUGAUGGAUGGUCCUGCGGUGCAUUAGCUAGUUGGUGGGGUAACGGCUCACCAAGGCCACGAUGCAUAGCCGGCCUGAGAGGGUGAUCGGCCACACUGGGACUGAGACACGGCCCAGACUCCUACGGGAGGCAGCAGUGGGGAAUAUUCGGCAAUGGGCGCAAGUCUGACCGAGCAACGCCGCGUGAAUGAAGAAGGUUUUCGGAUCGUAAAACUCUGUUGUUAGAGAAGCGUUAUCUAACCAGAAAGCAACGGCUAACUACGUGCCAGCAGCCGCGGUAAUUC